rnacentral:rRNA from 1 species
AUGGAAUUGUUUAUUGUACCUGCCGACCCUCCUCGAACUCGGCAGAAACGUGCAAGAGCAACUGGAAAACAGGCAGCAUCUGAUGUUCAUGGAGAUGGAGGAAGUGUACCAACAACACAACAUGCAGAACCUACUGCCAAAGGGGCACAGCCGCAGCCGCAACCUACUACUUCCAAACUGAAGUCAAAGGUAUGGCUUGACUUCACCAAGAUCUCGAAAGAUGGUGAUGAGAUGACUAUAGCUCAAUGCAACCAUUGCGACUCUAAACUGUCGGCUAAAUCGACAAAUGGCACAUCUCAUCUCCUUAGACACAUUGAAAGUAAGCAUAAGGUUGAACAAGCGACAAUGAAUAAUUUUUUUCUUGAAAUCUGA